CCUACGGGGGGCUGCAGUAAGGAAUAUUGGACAAUGGGCGGAAGCCUGAUCCAGCCAUGCCGCGUGAAGGAAGAAGGCGCUCAGCGUUGUAAACUUCUUUUAAAUGGGAACAAUAACUCCGACGUGCUCGGGGCUUGAGGGUACCAUUAGAAUAAGCACCGGCUAACUCCGUGCCAGCAGCCGCGGUAAUACGGAGGGUGCAAGCGUUAUCCGGAAUCACUGGGUUUAAAGGGUGCGUAGGCUGUUUGAUAAGUCAGUUGUGAAAUACCCCGGCUUAACCGGCGGUCGUGCGAUUGAUACUGUCAGACUUGAAUCAGGUUGAGGUAGGCGGAAUGUGGCAUGUAGCGGUGAAAUGCAUAGAUAUGCCAUAGAACACCGAUUGCGAAGGCAGCUUGCUGGACCUAGAUUGACGCUGAGGCACGAAAGCGUGGGGAGCAAACAGGAUUAGAUACCCUUGUAGUC
rnacentral:rRNA from 1 species